rnacentral:lncRNA from 1 species
GUAUUUGUUUCUCCUCUGGAAUCCUGAGCUUUUAAUGGGCAUGCAGCCAGCUUCAGGCGCUUUGCUACCAGGGUGUGUUUGUAUAGGAACUCAUACCACAGCCAGCCUCAGCCUGGGGACCUGGAUUGCCAGGGCUGCUCCACCUUGCUGUCUUUGUUUGCUGUAACACCACAUGCAAUCCUAUGCUUAAAAAACAAAGGGAAGGUGGUUCACAAAAAAGUGACAUUUGGAAACCCAGCCCUUGCAGGGCCUUUGUUUUGAGUGACACGACCAGUUGAAUCAGCAUAAUUAAGGGGAGCAGGAAGUGGGGACGGGACUGAGUGAAAGUGGGAAGGGGAGCUGGCGUCAGACUGGAGCAUGGAGACAGUGACUGCCAGCCUGGUGUGGCCUCGCCCCUCACCUGGUGACUGCUCCUGUCCUCUGUUUACCUGCAGUGCUUUGUUCAUGGAGUGGACAAAGACCUGGGUCACAAAUGAGAUGAGGGAUGUGCUGUUGCUGCCAUUAACAUGCAAGUAUUGGGCAAGGUCCCUUCACGUGGGCCCGCUGAUCUGCACUUGAAGCUGGAUAGCAUCAGCACUUCUAAUUGCAAUCUGUCUUUGGUCACAUGGGCAGUGAAAGGCUGAGAUUGAAAUCUGAGAAUUCACCUUGAUUCGGAGCCAUUUUCAGAAUUUAAGUUCACAUCUCCCAUAAGUAAAAAAGGAAAAAGAAAAACCCUAGUACAUUGUAUUGCCUACUCUAUUAUGUCAUAGUUAAUAAUUAAAAACAUGCUGCAAUUGCUUUUGUGAGUUCGUAAUGUAGAGAUAAAGAAUUGCUUCAAGUUGUAAUUUGACAUACAAUAAUGGCUGCAGUAUUUCAGUUAUUUGUUGGCGAAGCUUAAUUUCCUUUUUCAAUUUUAAUGACACAAAGAAAGAAUUAACAUCAUAUGUUUCCUCUGCACUUGCACAAUUCUGAAGUGCCUUUACUUAAAAGAAAAUAAAAUUUCAUGCUGUUUUCUAGAGCA